rnacentral:rRNA from 1 species
GUUUAAAGGGUGCGUAGGCGGGAAAGUAAGUCAGUGGUGAAAGCCUGCAGCUCAACUGUGGAACUGCCAUUGAUACUGCUUUUCUUGAGUUUGGUUGAGGUAGNCGGAAUGUGUAAUGUAGCGGUGAAAUGCUUAGAUAUUACACAGAACACCGAUUGCGAAGGCAGCUUACUAAACCGAUACUGACGCUGAUGCACGAAAGCGUGGGGAGCGAACAGGAUUAGAUACCCUGGUAGUCCACGCUGUAAACUAUGAUCACUCGCUGUUGGCAAUACAUCGUCAGCGGCUGAGCGAAAGCAUUAAGUGAUCCACCUGGGGAGUACGGUCGCAAGAUUGAAACUCAAAGGAAUUGACGGGGGCCCGCACAAGCGGUGGAACAUGUGGUUUAAUUCGAUGAUACGCGAGGAACCUUACCUGGGCUUAAAUGUAGACUGCAUUUCCGGGAAACCGGAAUUUCCUUCGGGACCGUCUACAAGGUGCUGCAUGGUUGUCGUCAGCUCGUGCCGUGAGGUGUCGGGUUAAGUCCCAUAACGAGCGCAACCCCUAUCGUUAGUUGCCAGCGAGUAAUGUCGGGGACUCUAGCGAAACUGCCGGUGUAAACCGAGAGGAAGGUGGGGAUGACGUCAAAUCAGCACGGCCCUUAUGUCCAGGGCUACACACGUGUUACAAUGGUCAGUACAAAGGGCAGCUACCUGGUGACAGGAUGCUAAUCUCGAAAACUGGUCUCAGUUCGGAUUGGAGUCUGCAAUUCGACUCCAUGAAGCUGGAAUCGCUAGUAAUCGCGCAUCAGCAACGGCGCGGUGAAUACGUUCCCGGGCCUUGUACACACCGCCCGUCAAGCCAUGGAAGCUGGGGGUGCACUGAAGUCCGUAACCGAAAGGAUCGGCACUAGGGUAAAACACGGUGANCUGGGGCUAAGUCGUAACAAG